GCAGCCGCGGUAAUACGUAGGGGGCGAGCGUUUUCCGGAAUCACUGGGGGUAAAGGGGGUGUAGGCGGGCUAGCAAGUUGCGGGUAAAAACCCAGGGCUCAACUCUGGGGGAGCCUGCAAAACUGCUGGUCUUGAGGGCGGGAGAGGAGAGUGGAAUUCCCGGAGUAGCGGUGAAAUGCGUAGAUACCGGGAGGAACACCAGUGGCGAAGGCGGCUCUCUGGACCGUACCUGACGCUGAGGCGGGAAAGCUAGGGGAGCGAACGGGAUUAGAUACCCCGGUAGUCCUAGCCGUAAACGAUGGUCACUAGGUGUGGGGGGUAUAAAGCCGUCCGUGCCGCAGCUAA
rnacentral:rRNA from 1 species